rnacentral:tRNA from 1 species
GCGAGAGUGGCGGAAUUGGCAGACGCACUGGGUUUAGGUCCCAGCGCCGCAAGGCUUGCGGGUUCGAGUCCCGCCUCUCGCACCA